GCAAUAGGCCUUAAAACUUAUUUGAAGAAAUAAUUGCCAUAAAUUUAUAGAUUGAAAAAACUUAGAAAACUCAAGAAGUAUAAUUAUAAAGACUAUAACAACAAAGGAUGCCGAAAUUAAUGAUUGAAAAUGAAAGGAAAAAAUAUUUGAAAUCAGCCAGAGAAAAGUGACAUUACACAGUGGAGGUCAAUGAUUGGAAUAAUGGCUGAUUUCUCAUAAGAAACUAUGCAGGCCAAAGGGCAGUGCUGAAAGAAAGUAAACUAUGUCAAGUUAGAAUUCUCUAUCCAGUGAAAAUACAUAUAAGGUACAUGUAUACAAUGGAAUGUUAUUCAGCCAUGAAAAAGAACAAAAUAGUGCCAUUUGUAGCAACAUGGAUGCAACCAGAGAUUUUCAUAUAAGUGAAAUAAGUCAGAAAAAGAAAAAUAGCAUAUGGUGACUCUUAUAUGUGAAAUCUAAAAAUGGCACAAAUGAACCUAACUACAGAACAGAAACACACUCACAAACAUGGAGAACAUAUUUGUGGUUACCAAGGGGGAGGGAGCAGGGGAUGGGGAGGACUUGAGAGUUUGGAGUUAGUAGAUGCCAACUAUUACAUUUAAAAUGAAUAAACAAUGAGGUCCUCCUGUACAGCACAGGGAACUAUAUCCAAUCUCUUGGGAUAGACAAUGAUGGAAGAUGAUAUAAGGAAAAUAAUGUAUAUAUGUGUAUGACUAAGUCCCUUUCCUAUGCAAUAGAAAUUGGCACAACAUUGUAAAUCAACUAUACUUUAAUAGAAAUAAAUUUUAAAAUUCUUUUAAUUUAAUGUGAAUUGGGGUCCAUUAAGUGUUUUCUUCUAGUUUGAACAGCUCUUACAUGGUGGGCACCAAAUGCUAACACCAGGUAGAUUCAACUUAAAGCUUAGCUGCUUAAACUAUAUUCCUGCAAAAAUGGUUUGCACUUGCCCUGAAUGUUUUAACAUGUUUUUUAAACUUGAACUUUUUUAGGAACUCCAAAAAUUUGAUGAUAUUUUAAAACUAUUUUAAGUGAAAAUUACAGUCAUUUUUGAAGGCUACUGUGAUAGGAUUGUAAAUAGCAAAAUCAAAGCUCAGGGUUUCUACUAAGUUCUGAAAUGGAAUUAAAGGAAUGAUGUGGAAAAAAAUGGCCACGUAUGGCCUAAAAUACGGAGGAAAAUGUGCAUAUUCAGUUAGGUAGGAACAAAACAAUUUAAUAUUUGAAGUUGAAUUCAGUGCCUGUUUUUUCCUUAGAAGAUUUUAUGAAUAAGAAUUUGACAGUCAAUUAUGAAAUUUACAAUGAAAUUCCUGCACUGGAUCCACAUUAUAGUUUGUUGAUCUUGAGGUCACUCUUUUAAUGCCAUGAGAAUUAAAUGUCUGUAAAUAAAUUGUCCAAAGUGGGGGAGUUCCCACAAUGCUUAGUGGUUUAAGGAUCCAGCAGUGUCGCUGCAAUGGCUCAGGUUAUUGCUGUGUUGUGGGUUUAAUCCCUGGCCUGGGAACUUUUACACGCUGGAAAAAAAAAAAGUGGAAAUUUAAAUUUUCUUAUAUGUUGAUGAGUAGGAGUAUAUAUCGCAAUUAUAAACAUUUCAUUAUCGAACAGUUAGAGUGUGUCACUCUAUUAAGUGAUCUAUAUACAUUACUUAAACUCAUACAUUCUCGGUGAACCACAUAUAAUUGUUUACCAUAUUUGAUGAUGGAACUUAAACUUGGGGCGGUUAAUUUAUGAGUCACAUAGUAAAUGACAGAGUGUGAUAACAAUGUCGGCUGCUUGACUAUGAAAGGCUCUCUGUUGAAAUAUGGUAGAGAUUAAGUAUAUUCUUUCAUAUAAUCAUGCACUGAAUCCUGUUUAUCUUUCCAUAUUAUCCUCUCGGGGCUAGUAGGAUUACACGGACUUGAGAAUUUAGAAAGUGUAGCAGAAUCAGAAUAGGAUUCAGGACUAGAGCGACCUAGAAGGAGUAGCCAAGUUCAGUUAUGCAACAAGCCUUAGGAAGACUAUGUUGUGAUUCGAAGAGUUUAUUUUUCUGUGCUGCUUUUCAGCAUCACAGCAGCAACAUCAGAAUGUGAUUAGGGGUGUGCGGGCUGAGAUGGUCACUGAGGAAGAAAGCUCAGGUCUCCCAUGUAAGGUCUUCCCAUGUUAGAAAAGGGAUAACAUCAUCUGGGGCUUCCUCCUAAUUCUGCCACCUCCUGCUAGAUCUGCAUUUGGCAAAGCAUUGCUUACAGCAUCAAUUUCCUCACAUACAAAAUGGAGAUAAUAAUGUUAGCUCUUUAGAUAUGAGCAUGAUAAAGGAGAUAAUGCAUUUAAUGUGCUCAGCAUAACCUCAAGUGUAUGGUAAGCAUGUACUACAUGUUAGCUGUUACCACUAUCCUUUCUAGUACUAUUUUCAUCAAUUUUGCCAUCUGCCUUGGUGUGCCCUGUGUGUGAUAAAUGUCACAGAUAUGACCUGGGACUCUAUGAGAUUUUGGGAAAAUUGUUAAAUACUGUAGGGAUUCUAUAUCCUGCCUGGGGACUCGAUAACGCUCUGCAGUUGGCUCUGCUGGGUGAUAUGCCUCUGGUAUCUUUGCAUGCAUUGUUUUGUUGAACAAAGGCACAGAAAGCAUGGAGAGUUUCAUGGAGCAGAUCAUUAAAUUCUGUCCAAUGUGGUUGUGUAUUCUAUUACAGAUUUCUUCCUGAAAACGUAUCUGCAAAGACUCUAGGUAUAAGUUAGGGCUUAUUUUUAAAGAAUCCCUGGUCUACAUGGGGUAUGGAAAUGAGUGGUGGGAGAAAUAGCAGUGACUCUCAAAUGGUUGUAUUUCUGACCUCUGUUUUGUGGCUGGUUUGGAGGACAGGAGACCUGGUAGGAAUGGUAUACUGUGUGCAAAUGAGCCACCUUAAUUCUUUGAUGGGCCAAAGCAAGAUAUCCUGCCAGCCUUGCUGCGGGAAGAUGGAAGUGGCUAAAAUUGCUUAGAAAAAUAAAACACUUAGCAUUUGGAGAGCUAGUAAUUAUAAGGAAACAUUGCUUUCUUUAAAAUAAAUUGCUGUGAGCAACCAGCAGAAAGCAGCAAUAUCUUCAGCUUCUCAAAAAAGGUGAGAGUGUGUGCGUGUGUUAAAGGGAGGCUUCAAUUUAAGACACAGAUACUGAUAACUUUAUUAAAUAUUGAUUUUUGAAAAAAAAUAUAUAUAUUCACUAAGCCAUGAGCCAGAGAAGAUCAGAGUUGGUGAUAAAAAUAAUUAUUAGUAGUAUUUCAGUUUUAUUGCAAACAAAAUGAGUCAGCAUAAUCUAUGUCUAUAACUAUAUAUAAAAAUAACUCCCAUCUAGAUCCCACUUGGAAAGUGGGUGCCACUCUUUCUUUUGUGACAACAAGGCCCACUUUGGGAUAGAAUAAUAUUUUGUUUCUUUUGUGGUGUCAGGGGCUGGCAAAGCCUGGAUUUCUGGCCCUCUAACAGACUUUUGAGGACUAUUAAGCCCAGCUCAGAGACAAGGGUGCAGAAUUUGUGGCAAGCAGGACCUGUGAAAAUAUUCUGCACAAUAAAAUUGGAGAGAAAAAGGCCACUUGAACAAAGACCAGGUGUGAACAGUGGCCUUGCUAACUCAACACAGCAUUUAUUUGGUGUCAAGUGAGUUUCAGACUCUGAGGAGCCUGAGAACCUUCACUGUCACUCACCUCUGUAGAGUUUGAUGAGGCUAAAUUACUGAUGCAUGAAAGAAGUGUUUCCCAGGAGUUCCCGACGUGGCUCAGUGGUUAAUGAACCUGACUAGUAUUCAUGAGCAUGUGGUUCCAUCCCUGACCUUGCUCAGUGGAUUGAGGAUCCAGUGUUGCCAUGAGCUAUGGUGUAGGUCACAGUCACGGCUUAUAUCUGGCAUUGCUGUGACUGUGGUGUA
rnacentral:lncRNA from 1 species